rnacentral:misc_RNA from 1 species
GAUGAAGAACGUAGCGAAAUGCGAUAAGUAAUGUGAAUUGCAGAAUUCCGCGAAUCAUCGAAUCUUUGAACGCACAUUGCGCCCCCUGGUAUUCCGGGGGGCAUGCCUGUCCGAGCGUCAUUGCAACCCUCAAGCGCGGCUUGUGUGUUGGGCUUCGUCCCCCCGUGGACGUGCCCGAAAGGCAGUGGCGGCGUCCCGAAUGGUGCCCGAGCGUAUGGGAACUCUCUUCCGCUCGAACCGGCCCAUUCGGCGCUGGUCGAACCCCAAUUUUUUUUUACCGGUUGACCUCGGAUCAGGUAGGGAUACCCGCUGAACUUAAGCAUAUCAAUAAGCGGAGGA